UACGGAGGUCUCAAGCGUUGCUCGGAAUCACUGGGCGUAAAGCGCACGUAGGCGGCUUUCUAAGUCAGGGGUGAAAUCCUGGAGCUCAACUCCAGAACUGCCUUUGAUACUGGAGAGCUUGAGUCCGGAAGAGGUGAGUGGAACUCCGAGUGUAGAGGUGAAAUUCGUAGAUAUUCGGAAGAACACCAGUGGCGAAGGCGGCUCACUGGUCCGGUACUGACGCUGAGGUGCGAAAGCGUGGGGAGCAAACAGG
rnacentral:rRNA from 1 species